UAGUCCACGCUGUAAACGAUGUCUACUUGGAGGUUGUUGUCUUGAAUGAUGGCUUUCGGAGCUAACGCGUUAAGUAGACCGCCUGGGGAGUACGGCCGCAAGGUUAAAACUCAAAUGAAUUGACGGGGGCCCGCACAAGCGGUGGAGCAUGUGGUUUAAUUCGAUGCAACGCGAAGAACCUUACCUACUCUUGACAUCUAGAGAAGCUUGCAGAGAUGCGAGUGUGCCUUCGGGAACUCUAAGACAGGUGCUGCAUGGCUGUCGUCAGCUCGUGUUGUGAAAUGUUGGGUUAAGUCCCGCAACGAGCGCAACCCUUAUCCUUGUUUGCCAGCACGUAAUGGUGGGAACUCCAGGGAGACUGCCGGUGAUAAACCGGAGGAAGGUGGGGACGACGUCAAGUCAUCAUGGCCCUUACGACUUGGGCUACACACGUGCUACAAUGGUCGGUACAGAGGGCAGCAAAGCGGCGACGUGGAGCCAAUCCCUUAAAACCGGUCGUAGUCCGGA
rnacentral:rRNA from 1 species